rnacentral:rRNA from 1 species
UUAUAAGAUCCCUCAAAGAUGAUGAGGUUAAUAGGUUCGAGGUGGAAGCGUAGCGAUACGUGGAGCUGACGAAUACUAAUCGAUCGAAGACUUAAUCAAUUU